ACAGGGAUUGCCCUAGUAACGGCGAGUGAAGCGGCAACAGCUCAAAUUUGAAAUCUGGCUCUUUCAGGGUCCGAGUUGUAAUUUGCAGAGGGCGCUUUGGCUUUGGCAGCGGUCCAAGUUCCUUGGAACAGGACGUCACAGAGGGUGAGAAUCCCGUACGUGGUCGCUAGCUAUUGCCGUGUAAAGCCCCUUCGACGAGUCGAGUUGUUUGGGAAUGCAGCUCUAAAUGGGAGGUAAAUUUCUUCUAAAGCUAAAUACUGGCCAGAGACCGAUAGCGCACAAGUAGAGUGAUCGAAAGAUGAAAAGCACUUUGGAAAGAGAGUCAAACAGCACGUGAAAUUGUUGAAAGGGAAGCGCUUGCAGCCAGACUUGCUUGCAGUUGCUCAUCCGGGCUUUUGCCCGGUGCACUCUUCUGCAGGCAGGCCAGCAUCAGUUUGGGCGGUGGGAUAAAGGUCUCUGUCACGUACCUCUCUUCGGGGAGGCCUUAUAGGGGAGACGACAUACCACCAGCCUGGACUGAGGUCCGCGCAUUCGCUAGGAUGCUGGCGUAAUGGCUGUAAGCGGCCCGUCUUGAAACACGGACCAAGGAGUCUAACAUCUAUGCGAGUGUUUGGGUGUCAAGCCCGAACGCGUAAUGAAAGUGAACGGAGGUGGGAACCCGCAAGGGUGCACCAUCGACCGAUCCUGAUGUCUUCGGAAGGAUUUGAGUAAGAGCAUGGCUGUUGGGACCCGAAAGAUGGUGAACUAUGCUUGAAUAGGGUGAAGCCAGAGGAAACUCUGGUGGAGGCUCGCAGCGGUUCUGACGUGCAAAUCGAUCGUCAAAUUUGGGCAUAGGGGCGAAAGACUAAUCGAAC
rnacentral:rRNA from 1 species